CCCGGCUCCGUUUAGUCCGCUGGGUUCUUUCGAACCUUUUCUCGUUAGUUUUCUUUUGUUGUGUCCGUGACGACGACGUCGACGAAUCAGAUCACCUCAGCUUCAACGCCGUCACGUCACGAGGAGCAUAAACAUCUGCACGUGGGAAAAACCAUGACGUCAUCGCGCAAAUUUGACUGCGGUACCGAGGAGGCGGGCCUUACGGCUGAGAGCCUUCUACGGCAAGACAAGAGGUUUGAGGUUCGAGCCACGGGCUGGGACAAAGAAGCGCACUAAAUCCUCGAAGAAGAACCCAGAAGACGUGAAAAUGAAGGUUUUGUAUCUAUUUCAUGUUGUUGUAAAAAUGACAUUCCCACACGUGACUGGUUCUCACUGGCCUUU